AAGUCGUAACAAGGUUUCCGUAGGUGAACCUGCGGAAGGAUCAUUAUUCUCUCGAAUAACGAGUCGGGGGAUACAACAGAAGUAUUCUUGGAAGAGAAUGCUUUUGUUUCCCCGCCUGCAUCCUUGUCUUUUGAGUACUUGUCGUUUCCUCGGCGGACUUCUCUCCGCCGAAAGGAUACCAACCACACUUUUUUUUUUGCAAUUGUAAUCAGCAUCUGAAUGAAAUAUUUAAUAUUUACAACUUUCAACAACGGAUCUCUUGGUUCUG
rnacentral:misc_RNA from 1 species